GACAUACUAAGAACUUUCCAGAGAUGGAUGGUGCCUUCGGGAACUUAGAUACAGGUGCUGCAUGGCUGUCGUCAGCUCGUGUCGUGAGAUGUUGGGUUAAGUCCCGCAACGAGCGCAACCCUUUUCCUUAUUGCCAGCGGGUUAAGCCGGGAACUUUAAGGAUACUGCCAGUGACAAACUGGAGGAAGGCGGGGACGACGUCAAGUCAUCAUGGCCCUUACGGCCAGGGCUACACACGUGCUACAAUGGUCGGUACAAAGGGUUGCUACCUCGCGAGAGGAUGCUAAUCUCAAAAAGCCGAUCGUAGUCCGGAUCGCAGUCUGCAACUCGACUGCGUGAAGUCGGAAUCGCUAGUAAUCGCGGAUCAGAAUGCCGCGGUGAAUACGUUCCCGGGCCUUGUACACACCGCCCGUCACACCAUGGGAGUUUGUUGCACCAGAAGUAGGUAGUCUAACCGCAAGGAGGACGCUUACCACGGUGUGGCCGAUGACUGGGGUGAAGUCGUAACAAGGUAAGCGUAGAUGA
rnacentral:rRNA from 1 species